GGCUGGUCUGAGUGCAGUGGUGUUUACAACUAAUUGAUCACAACCAGUUACAGAUCUCUUUGUUCCUUCUCCACUCCCACCGCUUCACUUGACUAGUGAA
rnacentral:Y_RNA from 1 species